CCCAGUUGCAUCCAGGAGGGUGUUUAUUUUGACCUGUUGCUGUGAUAGUCUAAUUCAGUCAUUUUAGCAUGGGAGCAUUUUGAUAUAAUCUGAAAUAUAAACCACUCAACUUUCACCUGUUACAAAUUGUCAGUCAGCAGGGGAAACCAGCAUCCAGAGUGAACCUCAGGGGGUGUUUGAACAGUGGGGUGUAUGGUAAGAGUGAAGGUGAGACUCCAGCAUGGGGUACUAACAGCAUCCUGAGAGCUGAGCCCAAAGAUCAGGAAGUCUGAGAGCAGCUCCAUGUAUCAGCACCGGUCAUCCUGGUCAUCCUGAAUCAGAAG
rnacentral:lncRNA from 1 species